CCUACGGGUGGCAGCAGUGAGGAAUAUUGGUCAAUGGACGCAAGUCUGAACCAGCCAUGCCGCGUGCAGGACGACGGCUCUAUGAGUUGUAAACUGCUUUUGUACGAGGGUAAACCCCGAUACGUGUAUCGGGUUGAAAGUAUCGUACGAAUAAGGAUCGGCUAACUCCGUGCCAGCAGCCGCGGUAAUACGGAGGAUUCGAGCGUUAUCCGGAUUUACUGGGUGUAAAGGGUGCGUAGGCGGUGUGGUAAGUCGGAGGUGAAAUGUCGGGGCUCAACCCCGGGACUGCCUUGGAUACUGUUGGACUGGAGAAUAGGAGAGGUAGGCGGAAUGUAUAGUGUAGCGGUGAAAUGCGUAGAGAUCAGGCAGAACACCGAUUGCGAAGGCAGCUUACCGGACUCUAACUGACGUUGAGGCACGAAAGCGUGGGGAGCAAACAGGAUUAGAUACCCUAGUAGUC
rnacentral:rRNA from 1 species